AAUAAUAGGCAGUAUGGUUAGAGAUCUUUGGAUUAGAGGCCGGGGAGAAGGCCUCUAGUCCAAAGAUCUCUAACCAUACUGCCUAGC